UACGUAGGGGGCAAGCGUUGUCCGGAAUCAUUGGGCGUAAAGAGCGCGUAGGCGGCCCGAUAAGUCCGCUGUGAAAGUCAAGGGCUUAACCCUUGAAUGCCGGUGGAAACUGUCGGGCUAGAGUCCGGAAGAGGCGAGUGGAAUUCCUGGUGUAGCGGUGAAAUGCGUAGAUAUCAAGAGGAACACCUGAGGUGAAGACGGGGUUGCUGGGGCCGACACUGACGCUGAUAGCGCGAAAAGCCAGGGGAGCAAACGGG
rnacentral:rRNA from 1 species